rfam:Gossypium raimondii Chr05_contig_634, whole genome shotgun sequence.
AAUCCAUUCAUAGGACAUUUCUGAAGUAAUUCUUUAAAUCCUUUCCAAGCUUCAUAUAGUGUUUCAUCUUCUGUUUGCCGAAAAGAUGUAAUUGCAUUUCUAAGCUU